AACGAACGCUGGCGGCAUGCCUAACACAUGCAAGUCGAACGAGACCUUCGGGUCUAGUGGCGCACGGGUGCGUAACGCGUGGGAACUUGCCCUUAGGUUCGGAAUAACUCCCCGAAAGGGGUGCUAAUACCGGAUAAUGUCUUCGGACCAAAGAUUUAUCGCCUUUGGAUGGGCCCGCGUUGGAUUAGCUAGUUGGUAGGGUAAAAGCCUACCAAGGCGACGAUCCAUAGCUGGUCUGAGAGGAUGAUCAGCCACACUGGGACUGAGACACGGCCCAGACUCCUACGGGAGGCAGCAGUGGGGAAUAUUGGACAAUGGGCGAAAGCCUGAUCCAGCAAUGCCGCGUGAGCGAUGAAGGCCUUAGGGUUGUAAAGCUCUUUUACCCGGGAUGAUAAUGACAGUACCGGGAGAAUAAGCGCCGGCUAACUCCGUG
rnacentral:rRNA from 1 species